rnacentral:rRNA from 1 species
UACGUAGGGUGCGAGCGUUGUCCGGAAUUAUUGGGCGUAAAGGGCUCGUAGGCGGUUUGUCGCGUCGGGAGUGAAAACCUCGGGCUUAACUCGGGGCUUGCUUUCGAUACGGGCAGACUGGAGGUAUGCAGGGGAGAACGGAAUUCCUGGUGUAGCGGUGAAAUGCGCAGAUAUCAGGAGGAACACCGAUGGCGAAGGCAGCUCGCUGGGACGGUACUGACGCUGAGGCGCGAAAGCGUGGGGAGCAAACAGG